rnacentral:rRNA from 1 species
GACGGAGGAUGCAAGUGUUAUCCGGAAUCACUGGGCGAAAAGCGUCUGUAGGUGGUCAAAUAAGUCAACUGUUAAAUCUUGAGGCUCAACCUCAAAAUCGCAGUCGAAACUAUUCGACUAGAGUAUAGUAGGGGUAAAGGGAAUUUCCAGUGGAGCGGUGAAAUGCGUAGAGAUUGGAAAGAACACCGAUGGCGAAGGCACUUUACUGGGCUAUUACUAACACUGAGAGACGAAAGCUAGGGUAGCAAAUGGG